AUAGCAUUUCCUGCUCGCUGUACUAAAAUUGGAAUGAUGCAGUGAAGAUUAGCAUGGCCCCUGGGCAAGGAUAGCACAAAGUUUCUGAAGCAUUCCAUAUAAUU
ensembl:snRNA U6 U6 spliceosomal RNA